rnacentral:rRNA from 1 species
AAGUAUAUAUAUAUUUAUUAUAUAGAAACUGCGAACGGCUCAUUAAAACAGUUAUAAUCUAUUUGACAUUUUUUUAUAAGGAUAACUACGGAAAAGCUGUAGCUAAUACUUGACCGAUUGUUCUAUUGAACCUUCGGGUUCGGUAGAAUAUGUACUUGUUAAGCCUUAUAAGAAAAAAGUUUUAACUUAAGGAAUUAUAACAAAGAAGCAACACAUAAUAAAACUCUGUUUUAUUUAGUGUGUAUCAAUCGAGUUUCUGACCUAUCAGCUUUUGAUGUUAGGGUAUUGGCCUAACAUGGCUUUGAUGACGGGUAACGGGGAAUUAGAGUUCGAUUCCGGAGAGGGAGCCUGAGAAAUAGCUACCACAUCUAAGGAAGGCAGCAGGCGCGUAAAUUACCCAAUUCUAAAGAAGAGAGGUAGUGACAAGAAAUAACGAUACAAGACCAAAUUUUGGUUUUGUAAUUGGAUUGAUAGGAAUUUAAAACUUUCCUAAAUAUCAAUUGGAGGGCAAGUCUGGUGCCAGCAGCCGCGGUAAUUCCAGCUCCAAUAGCGUAUAUUAAAAUUGUUGCAGUUAAAACGCUCGUAGUUGAAUUUCAAAGAAUCUUUUUUUGAAGUAAUGCUCUUAUUGGAACUUCAUUACUGGCACUAUGUGCUAUGUUUUGCAAGAUCCGAUAAAUGUGUUCUUCAAAAUAAAAUGGAUUCUUUUUAAAAAUUCUUAUUACAUUUCAUGUGAUUAGAAUUUUUGUUACUUUGAGUAAAUUAGAGUGUUCAAAGCAAACAGUUUAAAACAGCUAAAACUGUGUUUGAAUACUACAGCAUGGAAUAACAAAAUUGAACAAGCUAAAAUUCUGUUCUUUUUUCUUAUUUUGGCUUAGUUACGAUUAACAGGAGUAGUUUGGGGGCAUUCGUAUUCAGAUGUCAGAGGUGAAAUUCUUAGAUUUUCUGGAGACGAACAACUGCGAAAGCAUUUGCCUAAAAUACUUCCAUUAAUCAAGAACGAAAGUUAAGGGAGUGAAGACGAUCAGAUACCGUCGUAAUCUUAACCAUAAACUAUGCCGACUAGGUGUUGGAUGAAAGUAUAUAUAUAAAAGGCGUCCCAAUGUAACAGUUGGGGCACCUUUUAGCUUGCUUCCUUCAGUACCUUAUGAGAAAUCAAAGUCUUUGGGUUCUGGGGCGAGUAUUCGCGCAAGCGAGAAAGUUAAAAGAAUUGACGGAAGGGCACCACCAGGCGUGGAGCUUGCGGCUUAAUUUGACUCAACACGGGAAAACUCACUAGUUUAAGACAAGAGUAGGAUUGACAGAUUAAUAGCUCUUUCUUGAUUUCUUGGAUGGUGAUGCAUGGCCGUUUUUAGUUCGUGAAUAUGAUUUGUCUGGUCAAUUCCGAUAACGAACGAGAUCUUAACCUGCUAAUUAGCGGUAAAUACGCCAUAUUUCUAUGCAAGAGGAAUAUAGAUAAAAUUAACAAAUAUUAGAAAAUAUUAGGAUAUUAUCAAUAUCCUUUUCCCUUUUCUACAUAUUUUGUUUCUUUUUUCUAUUUCUUUUUUGUAUAGAAAUGUAUUUACUUUUUUAAAAGCUUCUUAGAGGGACAUUGUGUGUCUAACACAAGGAAGUUUAAGGCAACAACAGGUCUGUGAUGUCCUUAGAUGAACUAGGCUGCACGCGUGCUACACUGAUAUAUAUAACGAGUUAUUAAAAAUAUACAAGUAUACAUAUAUUUCAUAUGUGUAUAUUUUGUAUACUUUUCCUCCACUGAAAAGUGAAGGUAAUCUUUAUCAAUAUAUAUCGUGAUGGGGAUAGAUUAUUGCAAUUAUUAAUCUUGAACGAGGAAUGCCUAGUAAGCAUGAUUCAUCAGAUUGUGCUGACUACGUCCCUGCCCUUUGUACACACCGCCCGUCGCUCCUACCGAUUGAAAGAUAUGAUGAAUUGUUUGGACAAGAAAAAAUAAAUUUAUAUUUGUUUUUUUUUGGAAAAACCGUAAAUCCUAUCUUUUAAAGGAAG